AAAAGCUUAAAGUUUUCGAUAUGGCUCGCUCGUUCGGAGCAAACGGCACUGCUGUGCUGGCGAUCAUCUUCUUAGGAUGUUUAUUUGCGUUUUCAACUGCAAAAGAAGAGGCCACCAAGUUGGGAUCAGUUAUAGGGAUUGAUCUUGGUACCACUUACUCUUGUGUCGGUGUUUACAA